AAGCAAUUGGGUACUGAAAGCAUGGCAGAAAUUGAUAAUAUUUCAUUUGAACAUUUGAAUUCUGGACUAACAACGAGCAUCUUUGACAUCUGAGGAUCUAAUGGAAAUUCACUCAUUAUUUCCCCAAGCUUCGUCAGGUUCCCGUCAUCAUCCAAAGCACCCAAGUAAUUCAGAACUUCUAAAGCUCGCAUCAAUGUCUCGGGAGCAGGUGGAUCCAUAAAAUCAAAAUGCACAAGGUCGUCAAUUCCCAACUUCUUCAAGGUAAGAACAGUAUUUGCAAGGUUUGAUCUCAAAAUUUCAGGAUAUGUCUGUGGCUGCAAAUCAUUUUGGAAACUCUUUUCUGUGUAAAGUCUAAAACAUUUUCCGGGCUGAGUUCUUCCAGCACGACCAGAUCUCUGAUGUGCACUAGCCUUUGAUAUAGGAGAUACCAACAAUGAUUCCACACGUACUCGGGGGAUAUAAACUUUCUGUUUUGAAAAGCCAGGGUCAAUAACAUAAACAAUGCCAUCUAUGGUCAAUGAAGUCUCAGCAAUGUUCGUGGACACCACAAUCUUCCUUCCAG
rnacentral:misc_RNA from 1 species